CUGUAUAAAAUACAUAUGCCACAUUGCGUGAAAUAUAUAUAUAUAUAUAUAUACACGUUCACACGUUAUAUACAUACUAUAUUAACGCACAUGACGGUUCCGUUAUAUGAUACACGCGCUCGGUCGUAUAUAUCUAUAUUGCGGUCCGUUUAAAUAUUGUCUAACGACACACGUUGAUUUUUAAUUUAUAUAUCAUACGACAAUGUUAGAGAUUAUCAUAAUAUUUGUCGAACGACCGACGGUGUUACCGCUGAUGCGCUUUACGGCGUAAGGCGGGGACGCUUUCGACUCUUCGAGUUGUGUUGUGUUGAGUGUUAUGUGACAAUAUCAUCCAUCACACAUACGAGAGGGUUGAUGGCGUGUGCAUGUUCUAAACAAGUUCGACGCCGUUCACAUGUCGCGAGACACAUAAAUAUUAUCAAUCUCUAUAUAACAAUUGACACGUAUACACAAAGAUAUAUAAAGCCGUAAAUCAUCGACAGUAGGCGGACUCGACGUCCGAAGAGCGCAUCGACGCCGUCGUCGUUAUCGAUCGUUAUUAUUGUAAAAAAUGUAACGUGACGUAGCGGUUGCGUCGUCGUAACGCUGACGGAUAUCGCGUCUGCCUCAUAUUUUUAUCGUUGGCCUCAGAUCAGGGAGGAUCACCCGCCGAAUUUAAGCAUAUUAGUAAGCGGAGGAAAAGAAACUAACUAGGAUUUCCUUAGUAGCGGCGAGCGAACAGGAAAGAAGCCCAGCACUGAAUCCCGCCGUCGUUAAGGCGGCGGGAGAUGUGGUGUUCGGGAGGUUCCGCUUUCUCGUCGCGAUCGCUCCUGUCCAAGUUCGUCUUGAACGGGGCCGUUUUCCCGUAGAGGGUGCCAGGCCCGUAGCGACGGAGGAUCGCGGCGAGAGGGACUCUCCUUAGAGUCGGGUUGCUUGAGAGUGCAGCCCUAAGUGGGUGGUAA
rnacentral:sRNA from 1 species